UUCACUCAAGAAUGUGCUUGGAGAUCAUAAAAGAUAAACAGCGUUCCUUAUAACAACACCUUAGUCGCCUGUAAUCUGUACACACUGAAGUUGAGUUCACCACCUUGUUGCUGUCACUAAAGCUCCGGCGGGGCUGGCUUGUGGAAGCAGGUUGCCCUUGGCUCCCAUGUCGCCUGGAUCCAACUUCCCCUAACUGAAAACCGCCUCAUAUUCCCCCGGGCCCAUGGCAGCUUCAGAGGACUGAGCCGUAUGCUCUGUGGCGCUGGAGCCUGGGUUUUUCCUCUGUGAAGUGGAGAUGAGAGGGGCCCCCACACCGGCUCGAAGGGAGGCUAAAUGAGAUAAGAGUAGCCCAACACACAUCAGAGAGUUCAUCAGUGCUCGUGGCGUAGACCCGGAGAGGACGCACGCGUGUAAAGUGUCGCAGGAAAGAAGACAGUCUGGCCUUUGGAGACCCCGCUCCGAAUACAAACAGGAACCUCACCAGGCAGAGACCCCUCUGCCGGCUCCAUCGCACACAUCACGUCAGCCAGAGGAAGCCUCUGGCCUGUGAGCUCACAGUAGAUGCAGAAGGCGGCAGCAAAGACGUGCGAGCCCACAUCUGCCUUUAAUAGAGCAAGAAUUCGCACUUCUGCAGCAGCACGAGGGGACCCUGGGGACUGUUGUGGGGAUCAAACGAGAUAAUGUAUGCGAAGGCAUGCUGUGAAUUCUGCGUGCCCAGGGCAGGAGAAUGGAGGCCCCAGAGUGGGUCUAAUGACCCUCUGUCGAUGAAGAUCUUGGCUGUGACUUCUGUGGGAAAUGAGCCAUGGACCAACCGACGUGAGUGAUGAAUGAACGCACUAGAGCUGAUCACCCAUCCUUAACUGAUGAAUGGCUUACCUCUGUGGGUAAGGAGCAUGGAGGCCGAUAUUCAAUAUACCCCAAUCUGAUUUAUUCAUUACCAAUGAUGAAGAUCUCGGCUGUCACUUCUGUGGAUAAAAAGCAAAGGGACUCACAGUGAACACAGGACAGCUGAUUUAAUCAUUUAAUAAAGAAUUGUUAUCGCAAGCAAGGAGCAUAAAGUCUAAUAUAAAAUGAACAACUCUACCAUAUUUGAUUAUUAGCCCAUGGCAAAGAUCUUGAGUUUUACCCUUUGGAUAAAGAGAGAAGAGAUCUGUUGGAUAUAAACUUCUCCAUUGGUAUUGUUAUAGACCAUGAACCCACUGAGGAGGAGAAUAUACAAAAAUGGAAAAUUUUGCAUUUUUCUUAGUUGUGGUAUAAAAUGGAAGUUCAUUGUUCAUCUUUAAAAUAUGGAUGUUAAGUGAAAGAGGUCCAAGCAUGGACGAAUGGCUAAUAUGGAACUGAUAUGAUGCAAGGAAAUGGAUUCACUCCUAUUUUCAAUGCUGGGCUGCAUUGCACAAAGAGAGCUACUUCUCUAGCUCUGUAGGAAGUGAAUGUUCACAGACAUAUUCAUAUCUUCAAGGAUCUUGGUUUUAUUUUCCUAAUUAAUGGACAUUGACUGUAUUAUUAUUAAUGAAUCAAUGAAUAAGUCAAGAACAAUAUAUCAAACAAAGGCACAGAAUACCAAGUCUGGAUCAAUGAUGAGUAUGCGUGGGGCAUCUGAAUAACAUUUUGAUUAAACCCAGUCUGUAACUCUGAGGUCCGUUGCAUCUUUGGGAAAUGUGCUUACGAAGUCAGAAAUAUUCAAGGAUUGUGUUCUUGACCUUUUGUUGUUUAUGAAUAUGGAUUGUAUUAUUGUAAGUAAAUAAAUGUAUGAAUAAAUAAAGUAUAAAUAAAGAGGAGGGCUACACCUUGUCCAAUUAUGAAAGGAGCUUAUGAACCAAAAAUGAUUGUUAAUACAUUUCUGAAAAUUUGAGUUCAAUAAAAUAGACCAAGGCUACUCCUCCUUUGGGAGCAUAGAUAUAUGUGAACAUCAGUGUUGUUCUUGGUUGGUGGUGAGUUUCUGGUUGUAUGUCUUAUUUUAAGAAUAUUUACAUAACUGUACAAUAAUAAUAAUAAAUAUAUUCAAUAGUAAUAUAACAAAUCAUGAUAAACAUAUUAAUAUAACAUAUUUAAUAAGUAGUAGUUUAAUAUAAUCAAUAAUGAAAAAAUAAAAUACAAAUGAUUAGAUAGUUAUUGAAAUAUACAAAAGGUCUAAGCAUGAGAAUAUACUAAUUAUGAAUCCUCUUGUGUUCAUUGAUUUUUAUUUUUAAAAAAGUAAAUGCACGUUGUUGAUGAUUUUUGUGAGUAAUCAUCAAAUGGAUAGAUUUAGUGUCUCUCAGCGCUUUUGUCAAGUGUUCUUAGGCUUCACCAAUAUUAGUGCUAUUAUUAUAAGUGAGUAAAGCAUAAUUUCAUAUCUCAAUCUAUUAUUUAAAAGAGUACAAACUGUGGGCCCGUUGGGAGCAUAUGUAAUAUGUGAAGGAGCAUGAUUAAUCCUGUUUUAUUGCCUAGAAAUCCACUUAAAUAAAAAAGAUCUGAGCCCCUCCAUCUUUAAGGAAGGAUCACAUAGACCCCACUCUCUAAACACAUCUUGCUGUUAACAUUUAAAUUCAAACAGCCAAAAAUAAAAAUUUAGUUCCUUAGUAACACUAGGCACAUUUUAAGCUAUAAGUGGCCAGUGGCUACCAUUUUGGUCAUUGCUGAUAGAGAAAGUUGCAUGUAAUAGUAUUUAGUUUUGAAUAGCAGAUGGCUCUAUCAGUUUGUAUUUCCUUUCAAAAAAAAAAGUCUAGAUAAUUAAAUUAUGCUUAGAA